rnacentral:rRNA from 1 species
UACGUAGGGGGCAAGCGUUGUCCGGAAUUAUUGGGCGUAAAGAGCGCGUAGGCGGUCCGAUAAGUCGGCUGUGAAAGUCAGGGGCUCAACCCUUGAAAGCCGGCCGAUACUGUCGUGCUAGAGUACAGAAGGGGCAACUGGAAUUCUCGGUGUAGCGGUGAAAUGCGUAGAUAUCGAGAGGAACACCUGCGGCGAAGGCGGGUUGCUGGGCUGAUACUGACGCUGAGGCGCGAAAGCCAGGGGAGCGAACGGG